rnacentral:rRNA from 1 species
AACCAAUGGCGAACGUGUGUUGCACCCUUGGCAUUUCCUGAGAGUAUGUCUGCUUCAGUGCUUAA